AAUGAACGCUGGCGGCGCGCCUAAUACAUGCAAGUCGAGCGAGAAGACGUAGCAAUACGUUUGUAAAGCGGCGAACGGGUGAGGAAUACAUGGGUAACCUACCCUCGAGUGGGGAAUAACUAGCCGAAAGGUUAGCUAAUACCGCGUACGCUCCUUGGACUUCGGUUCAGGGAGGAAAGCGAUACCGUGGGUAUCGCGCUCUUGGUUGGGCUCAUGUCCUAUCAGCUUGUUGGUGAGGAACGGCUCACCAAGGCUUCGACGGGUAGCUGGUCUGAGAGGACGAUCAG
rnacentral:rRNA from 1 species